CUGGAGCUUUCUGCAAAACAGUGGUCUCCAGAGCUCAGGUCAACAGCUUAAUUAAGGACCAGAGGCUCAUUGGGGAGCACUUGGAAGGUUCCAGAAUCUUCCUUACAACAAUAGCAACAACUCCCCCUCCUUCAUCACCCCCCACCCCCAGCAAAAUAUGAGGGAAAAGGAAAAGGUGCCUUGCUGUGUGAGACGGGGCUUUUCUGUCCCAUUUCCAGCAGCGAGAUGAACAGAGGUAAUGCCAGUUCCCCUCCAAAUGCAGAUGGGCAUGGAAUACCAGAAGCUGUGCUCAGAGUGUCCUAAGCAAAACCUGCUCAAAGAGGAAAGCAGCCGUUCACAGGCAGAGGUACACCUGGAGCCUGGUAGUAACUAGCAACUCUUAUCUUUCCUUUUAAGA